UUUCCCUCAGGAUAGUUGGCACUCGGCUGUGGACAGUUUUACCUGGUAAAGCAAAUGAUUAGAGGUCUUGGGGCCGAAACGAUCUCAACCUAGUAUCAGCUUCUAAUUAUAUAAGAUUAUGGUAAACAAUAAAAUAUGUCA
rnacentral:ncRNA from 1 species